UUCCCCUUUCAAUCCCUCCUUCCCUCCCGCGAGAACCCCCAUAAGCAGGCUUCGGCUUCCACUUCGUCGUGGUUAGUCUCGCCUGGCAACACUGCCGCCACCGCCACCUCAAGAGGGCCGAACAAACUCGCAACUAUGUAUUUAGCGCUUGUUUCAACGCUCCCCGCUCCCCCGAGAGAGAGGUUAUAUGAGGGAAGGGCUCUAUAAUGUUCUAGUUUCGGUCCUGGACCAACCCAGCCAACCGCUCUUCUCAUUCGCACAGAAUCGGCAACGUCGCAUCAGAUCGGCGUAACAACGAACCCCUUUUCACGGAUUACUUUUUUCCACUCUCUGGCCGAUAGACUCCAUUUGGAAAACUACCUGCCACAACUAGCGCCGCCCAUGAACGCAAAUUCUCCCUGGUCCUUGGUUCUUUGCUUUUGUCUUUGCGUUCGCUCGUUUUAUCUCUGUCUCUCUCUCUCUCUCUUUUUCACACUCUCCCUCACAUGUUUUUCUCAGCGUUCUCUCUCCUUUUCAUCCUUCUUGCUCCUUCCGAAUAUCGUAUCGAGAUUGUUAAGUCUGUAAGCGGGAUUAUACCUUUCCUGUGGGUUACCGCUUCGCUUAGGGACCAUCAAUAGGUAUAAGGAGACGACCGAGUCCCCUUGUCUCGAGGCGCGAAUUAAUGAUCGAAGGGUAAGAACUGAAGUUCGAAGCGAUUUCGAUUAUCGACCAACCGGAAAAAAGAUAAAUAGAUACUAAAUGUGGAAUAAAGGAUACAUAAAUACUAUAUAAAAGAUUAUAUUUGCGGUGGCUACAAAAAGUAUAUAUUUGUAUAUUCCAUUAAAGCGUUUCUUUAUUAGGUUCUACAUUUCAUUUCCAUACUAUCAAAUUUUUGUAAUCAUGUGAAAGUUACCAUUAAAUGAUACAAAAUGUGUUACAGUCGGAUCUAGUUAAUUAGUAUAUGAAAAUGAAAUAAUAAAUACAGUGGUGUACAAAUACUUUUGGUAGCUACUGUAAUUUUUAUAUUUUUAAAUAAAAUUUCGUGGAUAAUUUCAAGAUGUUCGUAAUUAAUUUUUAUUGUUAUAUAUUAUACGGUGUUUCAGCAAACGCGGUACGAUCGAAAAGCAUAUGGUUCUACGAAAAAAAUGAUAAAAUAAAUAAAAAAUGUAGAAUAAAAUUUUACUGUCCCUCUGUUUUCUAGAAAAUAGAGUUUGAAUGUAUUGAACUAUGAAUUGAAUACACGCGUACUUGACCAGUUUUCGAUUUAAUUUUCUCAGAACCAAAGCAUCCUGUGAAAUAAUUUUAUUCUACAUUUUCAACUUAUUAUUUCCCCUUGCCAAAUGUACCAUGAUUACUGUGAUACUCUGUAUAUAUGUCACUCGUUAUAUAUGAACAUCUUGUAACGAUCCACAAAGUAUUGUUUAGAAAGAUAAAAAUCAAAUAUAAAUUUUUGGAACAUGAAAACAAACCAUUUUUCAAUACUAUGGAAUUUUCUUUAAAUAGUUUGAUGUUUGAACACCAAAGGGAAGAAAACUACAGCAUUAAAAGUGAAUAAAAAUUUAUUUACUCCUGAUGUUAUAAUAUUCCCCACAAUGUUCGUGACAAAUUCAUAUCGUUGUUCGUAGUGUGCGCGUUAUCUGUCCAAAAACCUUGUAUACAACAGGAAAAUCACUAACAAAUGAUUCGUUAACGAACGCUCGUUCUAGAAAUACAGUUUAAAUGCGCAGAAUACGUACAGUUCAUAUAUAGUUACUUCGAAAUGAUCCGUAACAAGAUAUCGAGGUAUAUUCAGACAGAGACUCGUUGCAUUGUGUAAAACGUUGAAUGAAUAUAAUAUCUGAAGAGUUUCACGAUAGUUUCUUAAAGUACAAACGUGUAGAAAAGGAUGAAUAAUGUUAGUAAGACAUAUAUUAGUCACUCGCAUACUUUCGAUAACGAUAAGAAAUAAGUUCUGUACGUCCUUUAGUACUAUUUUCUUUCUCGACUGAAGUUGGCGCUAUCGAUGGUGAAAGUUAAUCCAAUAUUGAUACUGAUCGAUAAAUAUCUACGAAUACUGAUCGAUGAUAGCCGAUAUAUUUCCCGGUAAAUUUAUAUUUAUAUAAUUAUUUAUAUUAUUAUUAUUAUUGUUAGAAGAGUUAUGACUGAGAUUGUUAUUAAAAUUUAACUAAGAAUAAUUAUUAAAAAAUAUGGUCAAAGAAUUCUUUCUAAACCUCAAAUUGAAAGUAUACAAUAUGUAUUGUAAAUAUAUAAAAUAGAGAUUAAUUUUUAUUAAAACCAGUACAAUCACGAUUUACAAAAGAAUCAUUUUAAAAAUUGCACAAGUGAUUUCUAAUAAUAAGAGCUUUUAAAAAAUAUAACAGACUAAUAAUGACUGUACAUAGUUUUAGUAUAAAGGCAAUAAAUAGACAAUGUUUAAAAAUCAAACGAUACCUGGGAAAAUAUUUGCCAUCAUAAUAAAUACUGAUUACUAUAGCGGCAUUAUUUAAGAUAGUUUUAUUGAACGCAAAUAAGUUAUAUGAUUCAUAAUAAACAGAAGUAUUUAUGUGAAAACUGUACAAAUAACUGCUACAUAAAUAUAGCAAUCGUUUAUAAGUAUAAAUAAAACAAUUCUCUGUACCAAACUUUUUUUUUUUUUCAAGAAAAUACUCGAGAGUGUACAAGAGAUUGCUUCGUGUUAAACUCGAUCAGUAUUUUUGAAAAGCGCUAAAAAAUCCGAUUAAAAAAUCGAAUAAAUAAAUAAUUUCUCUUUUCGAUAAAAGCAACAGAUCAAACUAUUUUUUUUUUAAAUGCAUUUACUGGUCAAUUGUUUAAAAUAACAAAUACUAAAGUACACACGUACAUAUACAUAUAUCACAAUUCUACAUUUUUUUAAUAAAAGAGCUGUAGCUAAAUCGUAUUAAUUUAUAUAAUUUUUUUUUUUUUUUGGAUUUUCACGAUUUUCCAGUUAAAUACAACUAAUCAUUAUUUUUCUCCUAUCAUUUGAUAUCGUUAUUCUCUUUCAUUAGUUGUUAGAACAAGCUUAAAAUUAAGAAAAUGCAGUACUCUGCGUAAAAAUUGAUUUUCAGAUAAUCGCACACCUAUAUUCGCAAAAGCGACGUGAGAGAAUUUUGGAUAUUUUCUAAUGGACACUUCUCUUUAGCCAUUUAUAUGGUUUAAUCCACUCGGUUUCGAAUAUCAGGCAGUAUCGAAAUUAUUCCUAUUUACUCUCCUUAUUUUUAAUAGACGAAAGAAACAUGUUUCGAUUUCUCUGGCGAAAUAUCUGAAAAGACGAGAAACUAAGCCUUUCUUAGUAAUAAAUUAUUGAGCUUGUGCCAUUAAGCAUUGCCUUAGCGUAUUUCUAUGAUUUGUUUAAAAUUAAGUAUAGACUUCUACGGAAUGAUUUUUCGUCUCUUACAGAAACGUUUUCCCUUCUCGUGAAUUGUGUAAAAGCGACACAACAUACUGACUUGUUCGUGAUUUGCUGGAAAAUACCGAAUUGCUACAGGGGAUCCAUCAUUCUCACAAUACAAAUAUUCCUCAAAGAUUAGAAAAAUUUAAUCGAAAAAUUUCCUCCUUAAAAGUAUUCCUUAAAAAGCGAUCUAUGAAAAAAUCACAAUGUUAAAAAUGUUUAAAAACCGAAUUCAAAGACUGAUUUAUUCAAGUAUUCCUUAUAUAUUAUAAAAUAACAAAAUUUAGAAAUCGUAGCAAAAAUUACAAAAGUUUCGUAAAUAUAAAUUACUAUGUAUAUGUAUUGAAAUCUUAUAUGAGGAGUACAGGAGAGAAACAUUUGUUACGAGGAAACAGUUUUAAAAUUCAGUACAAUGUCAAUCGCUUUCAUGUUAACAGAACUAUCUCUUUUAUUUGAUUGUGAAGCUACACAUGUGUAUUUUCAUGCUCUUUAAAAUUUUCCUCAUCAUGAUAUUAAAACAUUGCAUGUCUUGAUAAUUAAUAUUAUUUUUAAACCUAACAAGUUAUUUAAUUACAUUGUUGUUUAAUCGUAAAAUGAUAUGAAAGUCAGAGGAUCAACAAAAAUGUACUUAUUAUGUUUGUCUCCUAUGAUCUUCAUAUACAGAAUACAUCACAGGAAUCCCCAUAACAAAUCAAUAAAUACAUAUAUAUUUAAAUACAGUAGACAAUUGCGAUAAAAUAAUUUUAGACUUGAUUUUUAAAUUACAAUAGCUGGAAAGCGAGUGAAAAUGUGAGUUUCGAGUGGCAAAUAGAAUUUUUACUUGCUGCAGAGUAAAGAUCAUCCACGUUGUAAAAGUCUAAAUAUCGAGCCCUCCUUUUUGAUUAGCAGAUUUACUCAACAUUAAUAAUUUACUCGAUUAAUAAGAUUUUAUGAUAUCGCAAAGGUUACAUGCAAUUUCCUUUCUGAUCAAACGUGCACGAAAGCAGAAAGUCUCGUUUUUUUUUGAGAGAAUUCUUGUGUUCGGUGCGUUCACGAUCGAUUUUUAUAAUCCUGGUGCCAAUUAUUCGUGACAAAACGAAAUUAUGUACAGUACAAUUUAGGCCAAAGCGAGAAACUGUGGACGCGUUUAACCCUUAACGUUCCAGUGUUAUUUAUAAUAAAAUUCGUUAUUAAUAAAUUAAUUAAAAAUUGAUAUUUAGUUAAAAAAGAUUAAUAUAGGUACAGUAAAUAAAAUUGCCAUCGACUUUAAGAACACAAUUUUCGUUAUAAAAAUUGUAAAUUAUAUACCUCAUAAAUUUUUUAUUUCUAGAAAUUGAUAAAAAUCUUUAAUGAUUAUUCUAAUAAAAGUAAUCUGUAGAUAAAAAUACAGACGAUACGUAAAACGAUUUAAAAUGAAUAUUCAUGUACGACGGUUAAUUAGAAUCAAUCUCAAACAUACAUUUCUAGAAAUUGAUAACAAAUAUUAAUGAUUAUUCUAAUAAAAGUAAUCUGUAGAUAAAAAUACAGACGAUACGUAAAACGAUUUAAAAUGAAUAUUCAUGAACGACGGUUAAUUAGAAUCAAUAUCAAACAUACAUUUCUCAACUUUUAAAUAUACUAAUUACUAAGUAUUGCUUCUUCCCAAUCUCUAGUUUGUUAUCUCUUUAUGAGUAAUAAAACUUUUGCCAAGUUCAUGCAUACUUUAAGUUUAUAAAUAUUAUAUCACUGAAGAUAUUUUUGUGUAUCAAAAUCUAGUUAAAAGAAUAAUCGAUAAUAAAAUUGCCUAUUUACACUGCCCCAUAAAAUCAUUUUUCAAUAUAUAUACUUUUUAAUAACACUCUUCUGAAGAUACGUUAAUGAACGUAAAUAAAGAUUGCACUUGUCGAAUGAAAAGAGUAAAAAAAAGAGAAGAAAAAAGGAAAAAGAGACAAAGCGAUAAAACGAAACCGAAAUGGCUGAAAAUUAUGUAUUGUGUAUCAUUAUGGAACGAUAAGAAAAGUUGCUCUCUUUAUCGAUCAGCUGCUCCCUUUAUCUUAAAAGUAAAUACGUUUAGGCUAUUUACUUGAAUUCUUAAACCGUCUGAAAACACGUACAAUCAUUGCAGGAACGAGAAUGGAUCGUUAAGGGUUCGAUUAAGCUGAAAAUAAACCGAAAAAAGAAAUGAACAAAAAAAAAAAAAAAACAAAUCCAUGAAUAAAAAAAAUUUGAGAUAAAAGCAGUUUGACGUUCUGAUUUGCGCAACUACUUACGUUGGAAGUAAUUAUCACGUCCUCGCUAUAAGGAACGAGCUAUCCGGGCUAUUUAAGUUUUACAACUGUACUCCCGAUUAUCUCGUUCGGUUUCACUUUCACUUUCAAUAAUCUGCAAUUAGUAAAUUGAUUUAAAGAACACCGAUUCACCCUUCACCGAUCAGCAGCUGCUUAGAUCCAAUUUUAACGAAAUUACGAAUCUUUUAUAGCGCCUACUUACCCCUCUCUAUCUAAUCAAGAUCAUCUUUCUUUUCUAAUCUUGUUUAAUGUGAAUGUUUGUGUAUGUGUACAUAAUACUGUGAAAAAAUCCCAAAUUAUCUACGUUACUGUUACUUUAGUUACUAUAAUAAAAAAGGUUUUGUAUAUGUUAUUAUAUGGAAAGGAAUUGUUCAAUAUUUUAUUCAAGAUGCUGUCUUUUCUGAUUCAUAAAUUUUUUAAAAAUUUUGCAAUUUCGCUGUUCCAAAUACUAUCAAAUAUUUAUGGCAUUAUAAAAACAUGAUUUACGAAUAAAAUAUUAAUGACUUAAAAAUAUUAAUUACUUAAAGAUAGAUAUUAACUUUCUAGGUAUAACAAUAGUAUUAAAAUAAUGCCAACCAUACCUUCAAUCACUUUUGAAAAGCAAAAUGUAAAAACUAGAAAAAUAACCUAAGAUUUUUGCACAGUACUGUAUUUUAAUUGUGUGCGCAAGUUUUCCACUCAAUAGUUGGACCGUUUGAAAUUAACCUCGUGUCGUUUCUUUACUACUUUUAGCGUAUUAUAAAUACGCGAAUGUACGCGAGAAGAAUACUGAUGAAUCCAAAGAGUAUUUGGUAUACUUUAUUUACUCAUAUAUGUAUGUGUUUUGUUUUAUUGUUUCGUUUUCCUAUAAUAUUCUACAAACCGGAGUAAUACGCUACUGCGACUUGUUAAUGAGACUCUAAGUAUUCCGUCGCAUCAGGAAAAACGCGUUUUUUUCUUUUUUUUAUCAAUUUUCUUUUUUUCCUUUUGACUCUUAGUCUUUUGUAUAAGACUCCGAUUUCCCCGUCGCCGGAUUUCAUUCUAUUCAAUAUACAAUUCCUUAAAUGGAAUUACAUUUGGUUUAAAUUACAAAAAAUACACAGAAUGCGUAAUACGUAUAAAAACGUGUCGUUUAUGCGUCACAUAGUUAUAUUUAACCUAUAGUAUUCGUCGAUUGUAAGCAGACUUCGAAAUGCAAUGAACUAUCUAUUAUAAAAAUUAAUGGAAUGAAUUGAAGGUGGUUUCUGGUUUUGCGGAGACUCGUGAUAAAAUAAUUAAAAUUGUCAAUGUUAAUUGCAAUGCUAUUGAAACAAAAUGUCUACGAGACAUUGAGACACUCUAGACACCAUUCUGUAUUAAACGAACACAUUUUACAAAUACAUACUACUUCGAAGUCUGAUUGCAACGAAUGAUCGAUCCGGGUCAGAUAAUUUUAUAUUGCGUUAUUAAUGACCGCCAGAUUACACCUAUUUUAAUUACUACCAUGUUGUUAAUACAUCACGAGCUAUAGUGAUAUUACACGUAAACUAAAAACAUAAUAUCGCUAUUAUUCCUAUGUGUUCUCGAUUUAUAAUAUUCUAUAUGUGUGUUAUAACUCGUCGUAUUCUCUCUACAGCGAAAGCAUGAUCAUGAAACGUAAAAGAUCCCAUCUGCUCUGACAUAUGGAAUACUUCUGUGUGUGUUCGAACGACAAUUAGCUGCCUAAUGUCUGGUAUGCAUGGAAUUCUAUACCUCUGGGUAAACCAUCGACAUCUGUCGCCGCUGCCAGCACAGAGUAUAUGAAAUUCGUACGACAGUCAACGUGUUGAUAACGAAAUAACAAAGAGAGUAAUCGGAAUGAAAUAAACUAAAAUCGUUCACUGCGACGAAACGACCGUACACGUCUAACCAGAAAAGACGAGGAUCGAGAUCAAGUGGCGUGACAGGUGUGGACGAUUGCCUUAACCGGUAAUAUCACGAUAUCACACAGAGAUAACGAUUGGUCUCGAAUGCAGUCGAGGCACGAUUGUCCGACAAGGGGCGCCGGUUAAUUGGCCAAUCGAUGGUGAUUUUAUCUCGUUCCCUUUUCCGAUCAAACUGGCACAGUAGGAUCGCUAAACACGUACUGGAAACGUAUACGAAAUGGUUUGAGGGUCGAUGGAGCCCGCGCAGGCCAGGAUGCUUCACAUGCGCACCGACCUCUCUUUCUUCUUUCGUAACGAGAAAGUAAAUAAAAGAACCUACGCGAUUCCGCCGACGGAACGAUAGCAAAUUUUCUCUAGAAAUAUUACGAAGAAAUGCGAUAUUGAUUAUGUUGAUUUUUCAGGGACAAAGCCAGGCAUUGGAUCAGUCGAGAUAAUUAAUCCUUCAGUUAAGUUACUUAUUCCGUUCAUUAUUUCUAACUAAAUUAUUUUAUUUAAGUAUUUAUUCCGUUGAUUUCGGCAGGCCACGAUAUUAUCAUGUUUUUUUUUUUUUUUUUUUUUUUUUUUGUAUUGCAGUUCAAAAUUCCUCUCGCCAUGGAUUUACUUCUAUUUUUAUUUUAUUUAUUUAUCUGUAACUCGGAGUAAAAAAUUUACGAAUUAAUGAAACGUUGCAAGAAGAUUGUUGGCUUCUUGUUUCUUAUAUUAUAUCACUGUUAUAUUAAUUAGAUUUUUCGAUGAACUUAUACACGGUGUAAAUUUCGUCCGUGGUUUUGUAGAGAAAAAUCUGACUUCGAAUAAAUUAUGAAGAUCA